rnacentral:lncRNA from 1 species
GCAUCUUUAAGCCUUUUACACUUGACACCUCAAUGCCCUCAAGUCCUCAAUACCUUUUUAAUAGCCCCACCCCACCUCAUUACUCUUGAACUUGCCCAAUGUGGGACUAACCAAGACUUCCCUACAUUUAGACAUCGAGUUCUAAUAAAAUAUUAUCUCCAAUGCUUUCUACUAUGUUCGUGAAACAUUAUAGAAAUUUCAAAAAGGGUAAGCUCAAGUCAUCGGUCAUCCACAAGUUUCUAUUGAUAGAAGAAUACAAAUGCAGAAGCUAUCGCGAAGAAAUGCAGAAGCUAUCGCGAAGCAGUGUGAAAAAAUAGGCAUAACAUGCAAAAGAAAUAUGUUAAGGUACAAAGUCGAUGACUAGUAUAGUAUUAUUUAGAAUUACUGCUUUUACUUGUGGAUAAAAAAAAUAAACUUUUACUUAUUGUAACUCAUGGUAUAUAGGUGAAGGUUUUUAUGAGGUGCUCUUCUUAUACUAUAGAAAUAAGGUGCAUCUCUAAAUUUUGCCUAUAGAUGUAGUUCCGGUAUUCAAAACUCCAUAUCAGCUUGAAAAUUUAUUUUCAAUCCUAGUCAUGAAAUUUAAAAUCCCAAAAUUCCAAAAUGGUACAGCUUAAACAGAUUUAUAAAUGCUUGAAGACCUUGAAAAACCAUCGUCUCUCUCUCUCUCUCUCUCUCUCUCUCUCUCUCUCUCUCUCUCUCUCUCUACUCUCUACUACUACUACUACGUACUACGUACUACGUACGUACGUACUACGUACGUACGUACGUACGUAACGUACGUACGUACGUAANNNNNNNNNNNNNNNNNNNNUUUAAAUUUUUACUUAAUUACCUACGUUACUACUAGUAAAUUUAAAAAUUAACCCUAAAACUUAACCUAAAACUAACGGUAACGUAAGACGUUAAACUAACGAAGUUUAUUAAAUUAAGUACUGUAGACGUACGUAAACCAACUACGUCUCUCUCUCUCUCUCUCUCUCUCUCUCUCUCUCUCUCUCUCUACCACCACUAAAGAGAGAGAGAGAAUCAAGUAAGUUUUGCCAAGGCUUAGGAGUUUGGACAACGAAACCAACAAUUUGUAAUUAUAUAAAAAGUAAAGGGACAAUCACCUAGAUUUUCCUGUUUUUCCUUUAAAACCAAACAAUCUUAAAGUAGAUCUUUUGCUACCAUAUCAUUACUUCAAAAUUCAAAUGGCAUAUAGCCACCAUAAAACAUCAAUAUCUUUCUCAUCACAUCACAAACAACACCAAAUACAUGAAAACUAAGAUUAUUAGAGCAAACAAACAAGUAGUACAAAACAGAGAGUAAAUAAAACAAUUAAAAAUAAAAAGGAUGAAUAGUAUGUUUCUUUCAAAAAUUAAAACUCCUAAGUUAAUACAAAACUAAAAAAAUAAAAUGAGUUAGAGAGAUCCAUUUUAUUGCCAUGAGUUGUAUUUUAAAUUUCAUUUUGAUUAUAAAAUGAAUUUAAUAGACAACAAAUCAGACAUGAAACAGAUUCUCAGUAUUUCCAUAUUUUUGACACAAUAGGGGAAAAUCAUAGUGUAAUUACCACUAAUUUUUUUAAAAUAAAAAAAACUAGACUUUU